ACUCAUUUUGCCCAAAGCAAAGUGUGUAUGUGGGAGGAGAGUCAACCUGUUUUCAUUUGUUGUUGGUAAUCCUCCUUCUAACACCUUUUGCCUAAAGCAAAGUGUGUGAGUAAGGAGGAAUACACGUCUGUGUUUAGUUGUUUUCUUUGUUUUUUCAGUCUGGUUCACAUGAAGGAUGUACACAUCGAGCGCAAUAGAGUCAGAUUCACCACCCCUAAGUAGCGUGUUACUUCUGUUGCAGUCACUCAACCAUUUUCCUAGCGACUAAUAACAAAGAGAAGACAGAUGGCCCAACUACUCUGAGUGUUAAUGAAGAGGCCCGUUUGGGCAUAAUAGAAGAUGUUGUGAUGAAGACAAGGAACACACUUUUUGCCUACUUUGCACGCGCUGAAUUCAGUUGAUGAAGAUGGAUAAGAUUGUGGAUACAAUCACAAGGUUUUUUAGCUUAAACUGAUGCAAUAAACCUCGACUAAAGGUUACUCGUUGGUGAUGAUUGUCGUUAAUCAAGUUGUGGACCUCCAGUGGUGAAUUUCAAACUCAAAUGCUAACUAACAAAGGCCGUAGAAGAAUAGUUGCAAUCGUCCCCAAUGAGAUACCAAGCGGUGCGACCCCCUGUGUGUGAACAGUGAGGUCUCGGGACCCCGAAUCAUAUUAAGUGUUAAAAAAAAUUCAAUAUAAAUAAUAAACAAAUAUUCAUACCCUUUUUUUUCCUGAAUAAAUAGAUAGUGGAAUCACACUGUUAUUUGGCUAAGCUGCCAAAAGUGGAUAUAUAUAUCAAAUAUAAGGAAGAAGGCGUGGCACUUAAGACUUGAGAGUUCAAAUGGUCAA